AUUUAAGGACCCUUAUUUUGAUGGGUGGUGACGUGUCUUGUGGUUUCUGGGUCCCCCUCACCCUGGCGUGUCCCUUUCUGUUCCCGGUUCCUGUUUGCUUCAGUUUAAUUAUAGUAGCGUUGGCGGCAUAGGCGGGUGGAAUAUUCGUGGCGGAGUGCGCUUUCAGUUACGGCGCUGUGAGACGGGUGAGAAUACCGGUCGGUAGAUUGAGCUGCAGCAUCUGCUGUGAGUAACCAUACAGCUUUACGCGUGGUGUUUGUUUAAUCCGAGAGUGAGGCGGAAUAUUAUUCUAAUUCCUAAGCCUUAUUCCUAGUUGACAACAGUACAUGUGACGCCGUUGCUGUUUUGCUUAUUGGUAUUGAGGAUCCUUUGCUUGCGACUCGGCUGCCUGGUGGGCCGUCCGUGUGCUGAUCAAUGGUUUAUUAUUUUUAUUUUUGAUUGCUUUCAAGUUUUGUUUGUAUUGAAUUGUCAUUAUUUGUAGACUGUUUUUGGUUUGGCUUGUGCAUUAUGUGGUGAUGUUGCAAGUAUUUGAGUUAUUUCUUUUCUGGCUGUGAUAAUUUGGUGCGUUUAGGCACCGGUAUCAGUUGUAUACAGGGCUGUGAGAAGACUUGAGUGUCUUAGUCCAUCAACUAUUGACCCUGUAAAAUUCUUUUAAUUUAUUUUUUUUCGAUUAUUGUUUAGUGUGGAUUGUGUAAACCUUGUUUAUUUUUGUGUGUGUGUUUGUUGUUGUGUUUUAUUUUUUUGCAGGAGCCAGGCACAGUGCAGAACGGGGGAGGCCAGCUGCAUUUGUUUGGGGGUGUGUUUCACCGAGUGCAGGUGUGUCAACACAAUUUCUUUGCAGUGGGUGAAUAGUGUUUGAUUUGAUAUGAAUUUGGGUGGGUUUUUGAAGAUUCCCUGAACUGCAGCCGGCCUGCCUUGUUCCUGCUAGUCUCUGACCCCAGAAGAGUAUAUCUACAAAAUAAUUGUUGUUUAUUGUUUUUGUGUUCGUUGGAAAAUAGUAUUUUAUUGUUGACCUUUUAAUAAUAAAAUAUAUAUAUAUUUUGUAUUUGCA